AUCACACAGGGAUCUUGUUAAAUUGCAGAUUCUGAUUCAGGGAAGCUGGACUGGAGCCUGAAAUUCUGCCUUUCUAGCAAGCUCCCAGAUGUUGCUGA
rnacentral:pre_miRNA from 1 species